CCUCCGUUUCAAUUAUACCUACAAAAAUUGUAAUCAUAUUCUUAAAGUUUAGACUCAGCUUCAGUUCAAACGAAAAUGAUCCUAGCACGAAGUCAUCAAUAAUGAUAGUAACUUGGCCCAGCUCGAAAGAAACGUUCAAUAACAUCGUAUGAAAAAAGAAACUCUGAGGUAACGUUUGGUUCGGGUAUAAUUAAAUAAGAACUAGCUAUUACAGGAAUAGAUACAAAUAUGGAGAUAAGAAAAAUAGUAUUUAAAUAAAAAUUGGGUUGUUCCCGAAAAUAAGAAAAAUAGCGUUCGGAUAAAUAAUAUGGAAUAAGAAAAAUAAUGAGUAUUUAUAUAUAAAAAAUAAAAAUAUUGCUGAGAAUAAUUAUACCGACUUAUUUCAAAUAACCGAAAAUUACUAUUUUCGGAUACAAAAUUUACGUUUGGGUAUAAAGGGGGGAUAGGGGUUAUCCCUUUCCUUGUUCCAAUUAA
rnacentral:lncRNA from 1 species